UGAUGCCUUUCAGAUAUUUCUGAUUUGUUGGUGGUACGUGAGAGUGUGUUCGUUCUAUACUUUUUGUGUGUUUAUUAUUCUUGUUGCUGCGAAAUAGGACGGGCCAAUAACGCCAAAAAUAUUAAAAGGAUUUACUUUUUAACACAAGGAUAAGACGACAACAACCACAAAAUCAAGCUUUAUAACAAAACAACAACAGAUGCGGGGUGGAUGAAAAAAGGGUAAAAUUGGAAUCAGUGUUGGCAAAAGGAGGAGAAAAUAAAUAAAAGCAGGGUUGUGAAAAUUAUGGUACAACUUAGUUAAAAACGCGCGACAUAAGGCACGAAUAUUGGCAUUGAAAUGAAUAAAUAGAUAACAAGCGCAAAGCACUAUAGACAAGAACUCUUUUCCCGUUAUAUAACAAAAGUUGAUAUUUUAAAUUUGUUUCUAAAAACGUUGGUGCAUCGGAGCUAAAAUUCUCGCAGACAUACAUGUACGUCGUCCGAUAUUGUUCAGGGAGCUCCCUGAAAGCAUCUUUGCAUUUUAUUUGUUUUGUCAAUUUUCGUUCCUAUCCAUUUUCUUUGCUUUGCGAUUAUUUUAGGGCUUUCUUUUAUUGUUGAGACUUGAUUUCUUUUUGUAUUCUUUCAUAAAAAACUUGAUUUUGUUUUUGUUUUCAAUGACGUCAUUAACACUUUUGCUAAAUCACAGUAUUUCGCUUUUUUUUAAUUCUAUUUUGCAUGAACCAUAGAAUUUUUUGUUGUAUUUUUUAUUAUCAUCAGCUAUUAUUUUUUGUCGCACAUGAACUUGAUAAAAUUGCGUGAGAAAUAGGCAUGAUUUGCAAGGUACGGCAGCAAAUAGCCGCCAAGAAUUAUGCCAACUUGUAAAAAUGGUCAAUGUCUAACUUUUCCAAAAAUCCAUUUCGAGUUGACAAUGAGCUUGAUAGCACACCAGUUUCCCUUUUUGUGUCCAUGUUAUAUUUGAAAAUUAAAUAAAAUUUAUGAUUUUUCCAUGCUCAAAAAUAUAAUCACACGGCGAGAAAAUCCAAAAUGGCGCGUUUGUAGUUACAUUUUUUCUUCUGUUUGAUAAAAGAACUGAACUUUAUUUUAAAUUUAAUUAACAUCAAAUUUUGCACACAUUCAAAUCACAAAUGUGUACGAACUAAUUAUUAACUUUUAUUGUCGUUUUUAAGAUAUUUUCAUCCAAUUUUUUAUUUAACUUAAGCAAUAAAAGACGAGUAUGUAGCUGUCAAAUAGAGAAUGAAAAAAUCGAUUUUGAAUCUCGCAAAUUUAAAAACAUCCCUGGCUUGAUAAAUAUGUAGUCGAUGAUUGGUAAAGAAUAUCGAUAAAUUGGAAUAGUUGAUAUAACUUUAAGAUGGUUCGCAUACUCCGAUUCGAAGAAAAUUCUUUGAUAAAAAAAAUAAAACAACGCACAAUGCUAUUAUGCUUAUUCGUUCGUAAACUACAGGCAUUUCUCCAUAAUUUUUCUCAUCGCACUGUGCUAAGUAGUGUUAAAAUGUGUACGAAAUAAAGUAAAGAAACUCACUCAACACGUACAUACGACGAAUAAAAGUUUGAUGCGCCCAGUUUACACCAAGAAAGUAGAGUCAUACGGCCAGCCAAAGGCGCUAUUACACGGCAUGUAGAUGUCUUAUGACAUGUCACUUUUUGUAUUCACAUGUAAUUGAAAAUGUUUGUCAAAAUUGUAAAUUUACAUAUGCCGUUGCCGUUGACAGAUACUGCACUUCGCGUGAAAAAAUUGUACUCAGCUAUUCACGGUACACUACCUGGUAAUUAUAUCAUGGUUGUAAUGAUAAAAUUCCUACCAUAAAAUACUUUUCGAAGAAGUAAUGGUUCGUUGUUCACAGUUGAAAACAGAGGUUUUUCGCAAUUACUUUUUUGAAACGCUAGAAAAAUCUCAAGAGAACAUAAUAUUUUUAUUGAAAUUGUUUCAUAAAGGUUGCUUUCGGAAUAGUUGGCAUUUUUAAUUGUUCAGCAAGCGGAAUUUGAGAGUAAUCAAAUGUUUUUGUUUUCAUACCAAAACACGUUUUUUUAUUAGCACGUAUUGUGUUCUCCAUUUUAUUUAUUUUUUUCGCAAAACGAACCAUUGACACCAAAAAAACAUACAAAAAAUAUAAGUGGAGUACUUCCUGUCCGCUCAUUUUUAGCCAAUGUUUCGCCAACGUUUUUUAUAUGGAGUUUGACAGCAUUCCACCUGAAAAGCUGAAUAGAAUACUCAGCUUUAGUUAUGGGGAUAUAUCCUACAGUAAUCGCGAAAUUUUUUCGCAAAAGCGAAUAUAUUGGGUUGCCCAAAAAGUAAUUGCGGAUUUUUUAAAAGAAAGUAAAUGCAUUUUUAAUAAAACUUAGAAUGAACUUUAAUCAAAUGUACUUUUUUACACUUUUUUCUAAAGCAAGCUAAAAGUAACAGCUGAUAACUGACAGAAGAAAGAAUGCAAUUACAGAGUCACAAGCUGUGAAAAAAUUUGUCAACGCCGACUAUAUGUAGCGGCUUCUUGGUAGCGUCAUUAGCACAACAACAAAAUCUACCUCCAACUAAACUACCUUGAAUGGCAAAUACCGUAUAUUGAAAUGUCAAAGUGGUUUUCGAAAUAAACUUUGUUUUACAAGUUA